UACGUAGGGUGCGAGCGUUAAUCGGAAUUACUGGACGUAAAGUGUGCGCAGGCGGCCGAGCAAGUCGAGUGUGAAAGCCCCGAGCUUAACUUGGGAAUUGCGCUCGAAACUACUUGGCUGGAGUGUGGCAGAGGAAGGUGGAAUUCCAGGUGUAGCGGUGAAAUGCGUAGAGAUCUGGAGGAACACCGAUGGCGAAGGCAGCCUUCUGGGCCAACACUGACGCUCAUGCACGAAAGCGUGGGGAGCAAACAGG
rnacentral:rRNA from 1 species